rnacentral:rRNA from 1 species
GACGAACGCUGGCGGCGUGCCUAAUACAUGCAAGUAGAACGCUGAAGGAGGAGCUUGCUUCUCCGGAUGAGUUGCGAACGGGUGAGUAACGCGUAGGUAACCUGCCUGGUAGCGGGGGAUAACUAUUGGAAACGAUAGCUAAUACCGCAUAAGAGUAGAUGUCGCAUGACAUUUGCUUAAAAGGUGCAACUGCACCACUACCAGAUGGACCUGCGUUGUAUUAGCUAGUUGGCGAGGUAACGGCUCACCAAGGCAACGAUACAUAGCCGACCUGAGAGGGUGAUCGGCCACACUGGGACUGAGACACGGCCCAGACUCCUACGGGAGGCAGCAGUAGGGAAUCUUCGGCAAUGGACGGAAGUCUGACCGAGCAACGCCGCGUGAGUGAAGAAGGUUUUCGGAUCGUAAAGCUCUGUUGUAAGAGAAGAACGAGUGUGAGAGUGGAAAGUUCACACUGUGACGGUAUCUUACCAGAAAGGGACGGCUAACUACGUG